GAUUUUUUUUUUUUUUUGGCUACAAAUUUUCCUUUAUUUCUUCACCUCAGAUUUUUGUUUCCCUGUUUUGAAGCUUUCUUCUCCAACAUCUUUGAUUUUUAAUUAUAGAGAUUACCAUUGUUCAAGCCUUAUGAGAAUGCAAUUCUAUGUUGAAUUAAAUGCUACUCAAGUUUCUAGAUUGAACAAAAACGCAACAUCUUAGCUUCUUUAUAUUUAUCAGGUUCAUUGAUCGGGUUUUUGAUUUUUUUAGUUAAGAAAAUGUAUUUCAAAAGAGGUUUCCAGACAGCCUGGUGAUGCUUCAAGCCAAAACAAUGAGGUUUAAAAAAGUCAUUUCAAUUGACAUGAGCAAUUUGACAUUUUUGCUCAAUUUAAAAGAAAAGGUAUGCGAUGAUGAUGUAAAUACAAAGUUUCCCUACUGAAGUCUUCUUUUUUUGAAUUUCACACAUUAAUUUUAGAAUUGCAUGCUGGCAGAUAUUUGAAAAUUAAAAUCUAUAUAUGCUUAUGAACUAAUGCCAAGAUGUGUGAAUUUCACACUCAUUUAUUUAUUUUUAGUUUUGAACUCCUUUCAUUAUGCUCAAAACUUAGUUGUUGCAUACAGGAUACUUGCUAAUCGGCAGUCUGCUGCUCGCUCUAAAGAGAGAAAGGCACGAUAUAUACUAGAACUUGAGCGCAAAGUUCAGACCCUUCAAACAGAAGCCACCACUCUUUCUGCUCAACUCACCUUGUACCAGGUUUUAUUUUAUGGAAUUUUAUUGUUGCAUUUCAUAAGCUUAGUUUUAUUUGUAGAAUCUUUCUCUAUGUCAUCAUCCAUUCAAGACCUGAUGACCCUAGUUUGGAGGUUAAAAGAUGUCUAUUAAUUUGGACAGUUAACUGUGGUUAAAGGAUGUCUAUGUUGAUAUUUCACUUCUUAUUCAAUGGACUUCACAGGAUAGCUUGUAUUGUAUUAAUGCCGGUCAAAGCAAUUUGAUCCAUGCUUGCACAAUAAAAAAUUGUUAGAAAAGGUUGAAGAAUUAUGUGGAUGUUAAAUGAUUCACUAUAUUACUGAGGAGGCCACUUGGAUGAAAUUCUGUGUUCUGAUUGUCAUAACGUCCUCUUUCAAGAUAGUUUUUCACCGGACAAGGUAGAAAGAAAAAGUGUGAUUCUCAUGUUGCUAUGCAUUUUCUUUUUCUAUUAAAAAUAAAUAAUGUUCAUAUAACUACAUUUUACACAACCAUGCUUGGUCCAUUGGUUGGUUUUUAUUCAUUGUCCUGACUGUGAUUCAGCAUGUCUUCUUUCCUAGAGAGACACUACAGGGCUGAGUACAGAAAACACAGAGCUUAAGCUUCGGUUACAAGCUAUGGAGCAAC
rnacentral:misc_RNA from 1 species